AGAACGAACGCUGGCGGCAUGCCUAACACAUGCAAGUCGAACGCUCUUGAGGCUUCGGUUUCAAGGGAGUGGCGCACGGGUGAGUAGCGCGUGGGAACCUGCCCUGUUGUGGGGGAUAACCGAGGGAAACUUCGGCUAAUACCGCAUGCGCCCGGGGAAACCCGGGGAAAGAUUUAUCGCAGCAGGAGGGGCCCGCGUCGGAUUAGGUAGUUGGUAGGGUAACGGCCUACCAAGCCUUUGAUCCGUAGCUGGUCUGAGAGGAUGAUCAGCCACACUGGGACUGAGACACGGCCCAGACUCCUACGGGAGGCAGCAGUGGGGAAUAUUGGACAAUGGGCGCAAGCCUGAUCCAGCAAUGCCGCGUGAGUGAUGAAGGCCUUAGGGUUGUAAAGCUCUUUCGCCCGCGACGAUGAUGACGGUAGCGGGAGAAGAAGCCCCGGCUAACUCGUGCCAGCAGCCGC
rnacentral:rRNA from 1 species